GUCAGCAGUGAGGCAACCGCAGAUGCAGCAGCAGCAGCCUGUUCAGCAACAGCCAGCACAAGCACAGCAGCAACAGGCUAAGCCAGGCCAGGCUCAGCCUCAGGCUCAGGUUCAGGCCCAAGCCCAGGCCCAAGCCCCAGCCCCGGCCCAGGCCCAGGCCCGUCCACCACAAGCAGGCCUCCAGCCAGCCGCAGCGGCAAAGACAAAUUUGGCUGAUGCUGCCAAGCCGGGUGUGAAGCCAGCCGCACAGCCUGCUAAAGCACCACAGGGUCCUACAACGGCGAUAGGUGCUAAAGCCGCCCCCAGGCCCGGAGGGGCAGGAGGGGCCGCAGCAGGGCAGGCUGCUGCUGACGGGGAGAGCGUCUUUUCCAAAAUCCUACCGGGAGGGGCAGCGGAGCAGGCUGGCAAACUGGGAGAAGCUGUGUCGGCUUUCGGCAAGAAAUUUACUUCAUUCUGGUGAGCAGCGAAGUAGAGGGGCUCCUGGAGUAGAAACGACGAAGAAAGAGUGAGGCUUUGUACUUGAAAAACCUAUGAACACCCCCCUCGUGUAAUUUAUUGACAAGAGAGAAUUGUGGACCUCUGAGUGCAGCAGCAUCCAGGAUUGGGAUCAUGGGUACCUGGCAAGCACUGGAGGUCCUAAGCGUGCACACAUGAUGGAGGAGAGACUGUUAUUGCUUCCUCAGGCAGGAGAAUGGGCUUUGAGAGAAGAACUUCUCGACUCGAUUCUCAACCUUAGCCAGCACCGAGUGUGAGAUGUGACAAGCUUUUCUUCAGUGGCCUGCUACUGGUUGGAGUGUAGCUUGC